AGACGUUCACCUUGCUUCUUGAAGCAAGGCGCAGUUCGACUCAGGCCAUGGAACGGGGACCUGAG
rnacentral:ncRNA from 2 species